rnacentral:sRNA from 1 species
AUGUACCCCUCGUACACUGCGCCGUCCACGCCCACCUGACGACCGCUCGCUACGUUUUGUUAGCC